UGCGUGUUGUGCGCGCGCGCGUAUGCUUGUGUGUUGCGUGUGUGUGCAUUGUGCAUGUGUGCAUGUGUGCAUGUGUUUUAAUUGGUUUUCCCAUACUUCAUCCGGUAGGCAGUCUACCUGUUAGCUUUUCUCUUUGCUGCUUUUACUUUGACACUGUUUCCCCAGAUCUGCUUUCUCCUAUAACUAGUGGUUAACAUUUUGAAGGUUCUAUUAUUAUGUAAAUUCAAGCAUAAAUGUGGCAUCUCUAUGGCAUGGCAAUAUUGGGGAUUCUGGCUCAUCAGCAGCCUUCCAUUUUGCAGCCAUUGAAUGGAACCUAAUUACACUGCCGGCAGGAAUGGUCGAUCUGAGCCUCCUCUUCCUAGUUCCUAUGUAAAUAACCGAGCUUGAUUGAACCGGGCCAGUUUAUUUCGAGCCAUAUAUUAUUGUUCCAGGUUGGCCUGUUUUAAUUCAUCUCGAGCUUAAUUGGCCGAAAAACUGAACUGAGCUGAGACUGUUUGUGAACUACUUUGAUCAAUGUAGUUCGGUCAACGGGCUGAACACGGGUGAGCUGUAAAUGAGCUGAACAUGAGCUGGCUCGUGAAAAUAUCGAGCGGAAUAAUCCAGCUCGUGUUCGGCUUGUUUGUUAAGAAGCUGGCUCGUGAAUGGUAAGUUGGAUUGUCAGCCCUAAUACUAGGUGAAAAGUUGGAAGAUAAUUAAAAAAUUAGAAUCUUAAUCUAAUAAUUGAAAUUCACAAAAUAUCUCUCUUUACAUUUGGGUUGUCCUAAAAUCCAAAUAGUAGAAAUUUGUAAUAUAUAUAUAUAUAUAUAUAUAUAUAUAUUCAAGCUACAUCGAGUUGACCCCCAGCUCGUGUUCGGCUCGUUUAUUAUCGAGUUGAAAACUACUUGGAGCUCAUUUCGAGCCAAGCUCGUUUAUUAUCCAGCCGAACACUAUUUGGAGCUCAUUUCGAGCCGAAUACCAGUUGGCUCGCAGACAGGGAGUUGGUUUGCCAGCCCUAGUUCAAUGGCCAGCCCAAUGGCCGAGGUGCUCAAAGCAUUUCUCUCUUAUCUAUCGUGGCGAGUAAUUCUUUAAGGUCUGUUCUGUUUGACUGUCUGUUGUUCUGCAGAGGGCAACUGGGUGGCAGCCUUGUUAGUUGGACAGUAGUAGGAUGAUGAGGAAAAUUCAGAGAUGAAAACAGUUGGGUUUUCUCUCUCAGGAAAAAAAGAAACAACUUAGUGGCUAAACCAUAACAGUAUCUGCAUUUCAAGUCCAGUGACAAAUGCAAAUAUGGAUAUAAAAUGGGUACAACUCAUUUGCUUCCUAUGGGACAAGGAUCAGAGGAUGGGGUUUUCGCAUGUAUAUCCCUGCAAAUAUGUGAAUUUUGUGAGUACCUUUGCAAGGUCAGAACUCUACCAACUGAGCUGUGCCUCCUGCGCCCAGUGGAGUGAGCAUGAAAGAGUUAGAUGCGUCUAUUCUUUCCCCUCCUUCAGAUGGGCUAUCCUGGGUUUGAACCAAAGAUCUCGCUUGUGAAGAAAAUUGUCACAACUAUGAUCCAUUUUAGUGGGAGAGAAUCGAUAGAUCCUAUUGCAUCUUGACCUGAAGCUGUGAUGAUUGCCACGAGUGGUUAUGUUCAUCUCUUCAAACAUGAUACUGAAACACAGGUAGGCAGACUUUGGAAGGUUUGCUGUGUUCAGCAAGCAACCAUUUUGCAGCUGUUUUGGGUAGCUUACUAGCUUUACCGGAAACUCUAAUAAGUGGCAGGUCUGAGCCUCACCACUUUAAUUUUUCCUCAAUAGUUCCUUCUAAGGGUGUUCCUGUGGACUGAAAAAAUUGAAUAACCGAACUGAACCAAAUUCAGACUUAAUUAAAAAUCGGUUCACAAAUAUAUAAAAAAUUGAUUUCAGGUUCAUCCAGUAUUGGUUUUCCGGGUGGAAAAGGCUAGACCCCUUUCGUCUAGGGCUUCAAAAUUGCCCUUUCUCGCUCCCGUCUCCUCCAUCGACUUGUCUCCCUCUUUGGCAUCUCCUCCACCAACCCUCUCGAGCUUAUCCCUCCUACUUCGCUGCCAUAGAGGCCUCUCCCGUGCCGGCUCUCUUGAUCUCUUCUGUUCUCUCUAUUAGAUCAAUAUGCGUGGAAAAGAAGGUGAUUACAGAGGGUUCAGUGAAAAGAAGACGUGUGAAAGGAAAUGUUUCUUAUGGCUUAUUUGUUCGGCUGUUUCUUGGAGGGUCUGCCCCUCAGCAGGCAAUCUUUUCUUGUAGCAGUUUUCUGGAGUUUGGGUGUCAAAAUAUCUUGUGGCUUGUGAGCUUGCUCAUGCUCUGCUCGUUUUUGGGUUGGAUUGAACUUUCCCAAUUUUGGACUUUGGGUACUACUGGCAAUUAAGCAAAAUUUCGAGGGUUCAGGCGCUUCGCUCCCUUCUUCCAAAAGGAUUUUCUUAUUAAGCUUUGACUCUGUGUUCCCUCUCCUCCCUUUGCUAGGAUGUCAAUGGGUAUGGAUACUUGAGAUUUUACCCGAACCCGAACUCGAACCCGAAUCCGAAUCCGAGGGGGGUGGGUUUAAUGGAUGCCUGUACCCAACCCGAACCCGAACCCGAACUUAAACCCGAACCAGUUUUAUAUUAAUAUCAUAUAUAAAAAAUUAAAUUUGUAAUUUGUAAAUUUAGAUUUGAGUAUGAUAUGUUUUGAAAUUUGGUAAAGAAAAAUGAUUGCUUUGGGAUUCGGGUUUUCUUGGUUCAGUUUCAUGAUUCGGUUAUUUUGUUGGGUUUGGUAGAUAGCCCUCAAUAUCAAACGGGCCACAAUUGAAUCUGGAAAGCAAGAUAGCCCGGUCAGCCAGUUCGGAAUAAUAAUUGGAUAUAAUGUUUUCUCUGAAUUCUUGUGACUGUUGAUGUUGUUUUUAGCUGCUUUCAGAGAUUUAUUGUUGUAAUCUCAUUCGUAUUUCUAUUUGCAAAGGCUGUGAUGAUAGCCAAGUGUGGAUGCACUAGAGCUCUUCAUUCAUCAGACUGAACACAGCUUGACAAUUUUUGGAUGGCUUGCUGUUUGGCAAGAAACCAUUUUGUUGCUGUCUUUAUAGUAUAGCUGAAAUGGCAGAUCUGAGCCUGUGCCUUUAGUAUUUUCUAUUGCAUUUGAAAACUUCAUUUGUUUUUACUAUUUAUACUCUUGUUUAAAGCAUCUUCGUAUAGUCUUGUUUACAGUUGGAAAUUUUCUUUUGUAUUUGGUAUUGCCAGAUUAAAUUUUUUACUUGAAAAAUCGUAGUAACUGUCACUUGUAUCCUUGCUAUAAUGAUUUCCUCACGUAUUCUUUAACAAACUUUUUUCUAGUUGUAGUUACUAUAUAUUUUAUAAUACAUUCAUGAUUCAUGAAAGGAUCUUGAUAUUUUUGUUAUAUUUUGGUUUAACUAUACUGUAUUUUUGUAUCUUUGAGCAUCAGACUGAAUGUAGCUUUGCACCCAUUGGAACGCUUGCUCUUCUGCAGGCGACAUUUUGCGGUUGGUUGUGUAGUUUAGUGCAAACUUUAAUAAAAUGGUAGAUGUGAGUCUCCUUUUAUUAUUAUUAUUAUUUUUUUCCUUUAAACAUUUUCCUUUCUUCACCCAUCCUACUAUUCUCUAGCUCAAGCACGCUUAACUGUGGAGUUCUUAUGGGAUCUGGUGCUUUAGUGUUGGUAUGAUUUGUUCCUUUUUUUUGUGGCAUUUUCUUCAUCACUUCAUUUGAUCUGUUGCUCAUUUAUUUAUCAUUCUUCUCUGGUUUAUAUGGUUUCCUAAUUUUACGGAAAUAGGAUGUCUUGCCGUAUUUACUUUUGAUAAUCUCUUUUUCACUGUGAAACUGCCUUUGCAAGUGUUAUUUUAUUUAUCUAAAGAACCUUUGUUUGCUAAACUGCCUCAUGGUUACGAAGAAGAUAUACAAUCAGGGGAUGAAUAUUUCUAUCAUCUUUGGCCAGCUCAUUAUAGAACAUUCUGAAUCCUUUUUUUUUGGGUAAACUUCUAUUUGCCCCUCUGUGGUUUAGUGCAUUUUCACUUCGUCUCCCUAUGGUUUAAAAGUUGCUAUUUACUACCCUGUGUUUUAAUCUUCCUUUCACUUUAGGAUUUAGUGUUAACCAGGGUAGCUAAGUGGUACAUAUUCACAGGGCAUUAAACCUGACGCCUUAUUGCUACUGCACAGGUUUAGGAAUGUCAAGGUAACCCUGGAUGGCAAGUUAUUUACAGAUGUUGGCAGCUGGUUGUUGCCAUUGCUUGGUGUCGACGGUACGAUAAGAGGAUGGAAGAAAUUUAGCUGAGCCUUUGCAUGCCAUGUCAGAGCUGCUUGGUGUCAGCUGUCAAGCAUUGGCCUUGAGCUGUAUAUGAGUUCUUUCUCUUAUUCAUUUUCUGAUCAUUAAAAGCCGUGUGCUGGAAUUUAUUUUCAGCAGCUUGUCUUCUACAUAUGAGCCUACUCAUGUGAAGGGCAAUUCAAAAUGACGGAUCUGUGACUGCUUUUCUUUAGCAAAUGCAUAUUUUAUAUGUUUCUUUGUGAGGAGGCCAUGAUGAUGGCCAACUGUGGAUGCACCAAAAUGAUUCGAACAUCAUGCUGGACUUUGGAUCCACACAGCUUGGCAAGAUUUAGAAGGCUUGUUGUUCCACAAGCAACUAUUUUGCAGCUAUUUGUGCAGGGUUUUUUCUCAUUCACAAGUCACAACUUCAUAAGGAGAAUUAUUUCUCUGAGUGGUGGGUAUUUUUAUGUUGGUGUAUGCACACAUGUUGUUUUUAAUUCGAUUUGGGGGAUUUUUUUUUUUCCCAACUGGUCUAAGAUUGCAAGAUUGAUUAAUUAGAUUUACUUCAGUUUAUUUUUCUUGUUGGGGCCAAAAUUGUGAACUCAUCUGCUCUCUCUCUAUCUCUCUCUCUCAUAUGUGCAAAAUCAUUGCACUGCCUGCGAUUACCUGACAAACUGAAGUGCUAUUGAUUUCUCAUCCUAUGAUUUGCACUUUACCACUCUGCUUUGUAACAUUUAGAACUUUGCUACUCUAUUUAACAGCAGGUCCUUAAUGUAAAAUAAAAAUAAAACCAUAGCGUGGCAAAGUGCAAAUUGGCUAAACAACAAGGGGGGCAAAUUGAAAUUUACCUAAAAAAGUAAAGUUGGGGGGCCAUUUCCCAGUCAUAUCUUGGUGGUUCUUAUUUUCUCCGUCUUGAUAAUUCUUCAUCUGGUACAUCAUGAGAAGGACUUGCCCUUCUCUUCACAUCCGGCACUUCUCCAUUUAGAAAUGCUGAGCCAACCUUGUUAGGUAGGUGAUGGCUAAAUCGGAGGGGAGAUACAGAAGGGUUCAGCUGAGCCUCCAGUUUUGAAAAUUCUGGUUUGUGGACUGGGAGAUCUUGGCCUCAAAAGCUUCUAAUCUUCAAAGAAAUGGUGCCUCACAAGAGCGCGGCUGUAUACUUUUCUGUAUCCUUUUCUUGGGUGGAACUGUGAGAUCCUUCUUGGACGGCUUUGGCAAUGGUUGAGGAUUUUGAGAGAAGACAAAUUUGAUGGUUAUUAGUUGUUUGCUUGAUCAGAGGGCUAUGCAGCAAAAUUGGUGAAAUGAUGCUUUGAGGUUUGAGGGUUGCAUGUUGUUUUGUGUGAUUGGAUUGCUAUGUCGCAAAAUUGGUGCAGUGGUGCUUUUGAGGUUUGAGGGGAGUAAUGGCUGUCUGCACUUGGAGCACAAUGUUAACUGCAAAAGAAGUGCCCUAUGUUGUUGAACCACACUAGGGGUGCCGUAUGCUGCUGCUGCUGCUGCUGUUGUUGUUGUGGUUCUUCUUCUUCUUGCCUUAUGUUGUUGAACUGUAGAAGGGGUGCUUCUUCUUCUUCUUCUUCUUCGUUGUCGUCGUCGUCGUCCUCCUCUCCUAUUCUUGUUGCUAUUCGUAUUAUUAUUAUUCAAAGGGGUGUAAAGUCUCAUCUUUCAUAUUUUGGCUGGGAAAAAUGGUAAAGUUGGAAGGCUUUUCAUUUAAGUAUCUCCUGCACCGCAGGACUAUUUUGGCAGGGGCUUCUGGCCGGCAACCAUUUUGCAUUCUGAUUGGCAUUAUAGAUAUGAGGCACUAAUACACAAUAUCCAAAAAUUCGUGGGAAUCACAUGCCCUCAAAAAGAAUGAGAUAGAGAGAGGGGAAAAAACUCUUAUUAUCGAUGAAUCGGCAUCUCUGACACAUGGUCAAAUUAGAGAAAAGCUUUCUAAGAAGAGAGGCAAUGAUGGUUCAUAAUCCUCUCAUGCUUUGCCACUCCCUGAUUUAGCAAUGGCGCGGCAACUUUGGAGGUAUAUUGUCUUUAAGGUAACAGUUAAAUGUUGUGGUUGCGAGAUUGGUUUGUGGACAACAAAUGGCAACUGGGUUGUAUUCAUUGCUUGGUGGGAGUGGUGAAGACUGAAGAUAGGAGGGAGGCUAAUGGAAUAGUUCCCUGAGCCUCUGCUUCUGACUUUGAGAAGUAUCUAAAUUCUGUUUUAUUGUUCUAUGAAUUAUGAAGGCUUUUUGUGGACCUCUGUCUAUGCGCCUUGUGCAGGUAAUAAUUUCUCCUAGUUUAUCUUUUUCUGAUAAGCUGUAUAAUGCUCUCCAGAUGGUGGACUAAGUUCAGGCAAUAAUUUUUGGAGUCGUGUUGUCAAACUGCUUAUUAGUACGUGAUGAUAGCUAGGGAGGCUUGCCUGCCAGUUGAGUGGAACCUGGCAUGUUUGUGGUCAACAAUGAAACUAAUUGUUUUGCUCUCGCCAGAGUGAUUUUUGAUUGCGCGUAAAACUGUUAUGAAGAGAACAUUUUUCGGGGAAAAUUAUUUUCGUGGAAAAGAAAAUUUACGUUUGUGGUGCUUAGCUUUGGGGUUUAAGGAAAAUAUUCUCUAGAGUAUCCUUGUUUUGUUGUAAGAAUUGGGAAGGAAGAGAUUGGGAGGGAGUGAUGGAAAGAGGUGUUCUGAAUUUUUAGUUUGCAUUUCCUGUAGGAGAGAAAAAAAAGAAGAAAAACAGCAGAUGAAAACAGGUUUUUCCCUAAAAUGGGUUGAACUGUUUUCACCAAGAAGUACUUCACGUAGAAACAUACAACUUGGAACUUUUGUUCUGAAAACUACUUUUGGGCCUCUUUUAUGUGAAACCAAAUACUGAAUAAGCUUUGUCUGUGACCUGAGUUGUAACUACGUUGGUCCAUUGAGAAUUGCUCCUCAUACAGUUUUCGUCUUAUGCACUCCCUUGGUACAGUAAUGGUGAGGCAACCCUGGAGGUUGAGCUGUUCUUCAGUCUAAUACUUUUGUGUCACAGUUGCGAGACUGACAUAUUGAACAAACAUGACAUAUUGAGCAAACAUGACAACAGGUUUGUGGCCUUUUGCUUGUGUGGUGGCAUUGAAUUUUGAAGAAUUUUGCGCUGUGUAUGGAAGAGUUUACCCUGAGGUCUUCUGUUUUUUCUUUCAUCAUUAUCUGGAAAGCAGAAUGAGGCUCUUUUCAUGUCUUCAAUCUGCUUUGUGAUUUCUGAAUAGGGUUAAUUGCAUUAUUUGUAAUUAGCUCUAAUGGUUGAAGAUCUGAUUGCCAACUGAAAAAAAAAAUUGGGGCUGAAAAUGAAAAAUCGGGUAAAGGUUGGGGACCAAUAGUGCAAUUAACCUUUUCAAAUAUGAUCAGUUUACUUUCUUCUUGCUUUUCAUCUGUAGAGGAAACUAUGGGACUCUCACCUGUUAAUUUCUUAAAUAAAAAAAAGAGUAUUAAACUCCUUUCGACUAUAGGCCAUGUUGAAGUAGGCCCCUCAACUUUACUAUUGUGUUUUCUUACUUGUUUGUCAUUAUCUUACAAGUUUGUCCACCAACCAAAGUUCCACCAAUAAGAGGGAGGCUAUUAUGGUUCAGUUGAGCCUCUGUUUAAAACAGAUGGUGGAUAGUAUAGUUCAGCCUCUUAUGGCC